UGGAGAGAAAGGGAGAA
rnacentral:miRNA from 1 species